rnacentral:rRNA from 1 species
GACGGAGGGUGCAAGCGUUGCUCGGAAUCACUGGGCGUAAAGGGUGCGUAGGCGGGUUUUUAAGUCCGGGGUGAAAUCCUGGAGCUCAACUCCAGAGCUGCCUUUGAUACUGAAGAUCUUGAGUUCGGGAGAGGUGAGUGGAACUGCGAGUGUAGAGGUGAAAUUCGUAGAUAUUCGCAAGAACACCAGUGGCGAAGGCGGCUCACUGGCCCGAUACUGACGCUGAGGCACGAAAGCGUGGGGAGCAAACAGG